UCUCGGGAUCUAUUUUAUGAUCAUUGCAGAACUGUAACGUAUAGGUGUAAUCGUUCACUAAUCUUUACUUACUCAAAGUUCCCUUGAGUGGGGCUAUAAUCCAUAGAUGGUGCUAGGCCAGUACGAGUAGUAAGGUUAUUGAUAUUGAUUACAUCUUGGAGUCGAGUUGCCUGGGAACGCAGCUCAAAGAAGGUGGUAAACCUCAUCUAAGGCUAAAUAUGACUACAAGACCGAUAGCGAACAAGUACCGUGAGGGAAAGUUGCAAAGAACUUUGAAGAGAGAGUUCAAGAGGGCGUGAAACCGCUGAGAAGGAAGCGGAUAGAGUUGACGAAACACAAUAGCAUUCAUCCAAUCAGUGUAUCAAAUACUGUAUAAUUGUACCUACCACUGGUAACAGUUGUGGGCGGUUAUAUGGCUAUAUUGGUACAUUUAACAAAACUGCCAAAUAUUCCAGAUUGGUGCUUUUGCUAUUGUUAAGCGCUGAGAGUUCCACUAUGAUACGUUUAUUGCUAGUGGCAUAAAGAAAGGACUAUGUUCUUUUUGUUGGAUGUAAGAAAACCUAUUAUGCACAAUUUUGCAUACGUAUUUAUGGUGUGGAAUAGCGCAACAUGUAACAUAUAUUGUCAGUGGUAAACCUCGUAACUAUAUAUUUAUUGAUUAUUUUGGCUAUUCAAUAUUAUGCAUGCAUAUGUUGGAUAGUUGUAAAAAUGGUCAUUUAUAUAUUAUGUUACAUUAUGUGGCAAUAUUAUCUCAGUGUAAAAGUUGACCACCUAUCCGACC
rnacentral:rRNA from 1 species